GGAGGCGGUACUUCCUCCAGCAUUUGCCGCGAGUUAUUGGCAAGUUCCCCUGCAGUUGUUUGGGCUGUCGCUGUGGCUGGUUCUGCGGUGUGCGGCCAGCCAUGGAGCGCUCUGGGCCCAGCGAAGUGACAGGCUCAGACGCAUCGGGACCGGACCCGCAGCUUGUGGUCACCAUGGGCUUCACGGGGUUCGGGGUUCGGUAAAAAAGCUCACACAUUUGACUUGGAAGCAAUGUUUGAACAAACUCAAAGAACAGCUGUGGAAAGAAGUCACAAAACACUGGGCCACCAGGAACACACCUGUAGCCCAGCAAAGUUGAGGCCAUCGACUGGCUCAUCACAACAAGGAAGGCUGUGCACCACUGGGACCCAGCAGCAGCUCAGCAGCAGCAGUGAGAGGGCCUUGGGAAAGACUUGGAGGGUUUGGCUUAUACAAGACCAGAUUACAGAGGGGUAUUGAUUUGCCUUGCCCCCGCCCCCACCAUCACAGUGUGUCCCUGUCCAGUGUUGGUGCUGUGUGGCAUUGCUUGUGUCCAUAGGAGUCCAUCAAGGCAGAGCGGCAGAGCGGCAAGCAGAGCGGCAAGGCAGGUCAGCUUCCGGCUCUUCCAGGCUGCAUGUCCCCCUCAAUAUCCUUUCAACCCAAUGGAAAUGGAUUGAAAGAGUGAAAGUCACUGGUCUCAAAGAAUCUACGGAAUUUAGCAUUUUGAAAAUCACAGAGCAAUUUUGGGUAGGUAUUCACAUGCACUAAAAAACCAGGCAAACAUCUGACUCCCAGGAUAAAGUGACUGAGAGCAGUAGAAGACUUGUUGAGCCUUAAGGAAUAAGAGGAAAAUUAUGUUAUGAAGUGCAGGAACAGCACAGACCCAGACGAGGGGAUGCAGCCCGGAGCCAGUAACCCGGCGCCUCCUCCUCCCCAGGGCGCAGCGCUGGCUGCUCCCCGGAUACCGUGAUCACACGUCCCAGGUCCUGAGAGCGCCUCAUAGGUAGACAGUUCUUUGGGACUUUUGGGACGCAGCACUUGAAGAGAGGUUUACCUAAACUUUCCUCCUGGGAGCCUGUCAUCAUUUGAAAGUAACAGAAGAAAGCUGUCAGGCUGAGGAAAGUUUCAACAGGCACUUGGUGAGAAUGGGAAGCAUCCAUUCAUUGGGAAAUCACGGGGACAGAGGAGGAAUUCACGGGAUCAGAGCACUGAGAAACUCCAGAGGCUUCUGGUUCACCGCCCUGAUUCCACAGAUGUGGGUCAGAGGCAGAGAUGGAAGUUGGAAUGGACAAGCCUGCCCUCUCCUCAGCUCUCCAUGGCUCUGUCCUCAGGCUGUUUCUGCAAUUUGACAUGAGGCCUGGCCCCAGGGAAACCAGUGGGGCCUCAUCUCCUCCCUGUGCUGCUCUGAGGUGGAGCCUUCUCAGGGUCAGUCCAGCUCUGGAGCCCCUCUCCAGCUCGGUCACCAAAGCUGUCUGGUCCCAGGGCAGUGUGGAGUGACAGGCACGCCAGCCAAUCCAAUCGGCCAUUUCAUACCCAAUGCAUGUGACUGAUAAAGAGAUAACACCCUGUCUCCAAGACACAGGCUUUACAUAAACAGCUUUAAUGACUUCUUCACUUAGGGACAAGACUCCUUAGUGGUGGAACCUCAGGCAUCCAUGCAGGAUGUAAGAAAGCUCCCGUAUAUACAUGAACUGAGAAGUGUGUAGAAGAGUAAAUACUGUAAUAGGUAAUAAAAUGUAUGUAUUUUUAUUUAUGUGCUACUUUGUCUUUCUCCCUCUCUGUGUAUAUACACAUACAUACAAAAAUGUAUUCAUUCUAUGGAAAACAUGAAAGAUGUAAUAUUCUUUACAUAUUUAAUUAAUGUAUUUUUUCUGAUCAUAUGAACACCACAAAUAUAAUUUUAUAAUUUUUUUACCUAACAAUAAGUCUUAAACAUAAAUAUACAUGGACAAUAUCAUAGUUUUUUUUUUAAUCAUAAUUAAAAUGGUUGUGAAACA
rnacentral:lncRNA from 10 species